rnacentral:snRNA from 9 species
AUGCUUACUUGGACUGUGUCAAUGGGUGAUCAAGAAGGUCUAUGGCCUAGCUUGGUGGCUUCUACUGCACUUAUGAGGGGUGCCCAUCUAUGGUCAGUCCAUAGUGACUGUGGGGGGCUCAACUAC